GUUAGGAAUAUUGGACAAUGGGCGAAAGCCUGAUCCAGCCAUGCCGCGUGAACGAUGAAGGCCUUCGGGUUGUAAAGUUCUUUAGCCGAUGAUUAUAAUGACUGUAGUCGGAAAAUAAGCCCCGGCUAACUUCGUGCCAGCAGCCGCGGUAAUACGAAGGGGGCGAGCGCUAUUCGGAAUCACUGGGCGUAAAGCGUGCGUAGGCGGUUUUGUAAGUUAGGAGUGAAAGCCCAGGGCUCAACCUUGGAAUUGCUCUUAAAACUGCAAGGCUCGAAUCUCGGAGAGGAUAGCGGAAUUUCCAGUGUAGCAGUGAAAUGCGUAGAUAUUGGAAGGAACACCAGUGGCGUAAGCGGCUAUCUGGACGAGUAUUGACGCUGAGGCACGAAAGCGUGGGGAUCAAACAGGAUUAGAAACCCUUGUAGUAC
rnacentral:rRNA from 1 species